AGUGAACGCUGGCGGUAGGCCUAACACAUGCAAGUCGAACGGCAGCACAGUAAGAGCUUGCUCUUACGGGUGGCGAGUGGCGGACGGGUGAGGAAUACAUCGGAAUCUACUUUUUCGUGGGGGAUAACGUAGGGAAACUUACGCUAAUACCGCAUACGACCUACGGGUGAAAGCAGGGGAUCUUCGGACCUUGCGCGAUUGAAUGAGCCGAUGUCGGAUUAGCUAGUUGGCGGGGUAAAGGCCCACCAAGGCGACGAUCCGUAGCUGGUCUGAGAGGAUGAUCAGACACACUGGAACUGAGACACGGUCCAGAAUCCUACGGGAGGCAGCAGUGGGGAAUAUUGGACAAUGGGCGCAAGCCUGAUCCAGCCAUACCGCGUGGGUGAAGAAGGCCUUCGGGUUGUAAAGCCCUUUUGUUGGGAAAGAAAAGCAGCAGGUUAAUACCCCGCUGUUCUGACGGUACCCAAAGAAUAAGCACCGGCUAACUUCGUG
rnacentral:rRNA from 1 species